UACGUAGGGUGCAAGCGUUGUCCGGAAUUAUUGGGCGUAAAGAGCUCGUAGGCGGUUUGUCGCGUCUGCUGUGAAAACUCGGGGCUUAACUCCGGGCCUGCAGUGGGUACGGGCAGACUAAAGUGCGGUAGGGGAGACUGGAAUUCCUGGUGUAGCGGUGAAAUGCGCAGAUAUCAGGAGGAACACCGGUGGCGAAGGCGGGUCUCUGGGCCGUAACUGACGCUGAGGAGCGAAAGCGUGGGGAGCGAACAGG
rnacentral:rRNA from 1 species